rnacentral:rRNA from 1 species
UGGGGAAUAUUGCACAAUGGGCGCAAGCCUGAUGCAGCAACGCCGCGUGAACGAUGAAGGUCUUCGGAUCGUAAAGUUCUGUUGCAGGGGAAGAUAAUGACGGUACCCUGUGAGGAAGCCCCGGCUAACUACGUGCCAGCAGCCGCGGUAAUACGUAGGGGGCUAGCGUUAUCCGGAUUUACUGGGCGUAAAGGGUGCGUAGGUGGUCUUUCAAGUCGGUGGUUAAAGGCUACGGCUCAACCGUAGUUAGCCUCCGAAACUGGAAGACUUGAGUGCGGGAGAGGAAAGUGGAAUUCCCAGUGUAGCGGUGAAAUGCGUAGAUAUUGGGAGGAACACCAGUAGCGAAGGCGGCUUUCUGGACUGCAACUGACACUGGGGCACGAAAGCGUGGGUAGCAAACAGG